rnacentral:rRNA from 1 species
UACGGAGGAUGCAAGCGUUAUCCGGAUUUAUUGGGUUUAAAGGGUGCGCAGGCGGAAAGAUAAGUCAGUGGUGAAAAACUGCCGCUUAACGGUAGUCUUGCCAUUGAUACUGUUUUUCUUGAGUAUGGAUGAGGUAGGCGGAAUGUGCAGUGUAGCGGUGAAAUGCAUAGAUAUUGCACGGAACUCCGAUUGCGAAGGCAGCUUACUGGACCAUUACUGACGCUCAGGCACGAAAGCGUGGGUAGCAAACAGGAUUA